rnacentral:lncRNA from 1 species
AUCCAGGAUGAGUUCAGACCCUGGGCUAUCCAUGGACCAUGGCUGACCCUUGGCCUAAAGCCACAUAUCCAGGCCUAUGAAAUGGAUUUUACCCAUCUGUGAUCUGAUUACCCUACCACUGCAUGCCUACAGCACCCAAGGAAUGCGAAAACAUCAUGUUCCAGGGACAGUCUUCAUUUGCGCUAGACAAAAGACAAACAAUCCUUCCUUGAAUGGACCCACUCUUCUUUUUUCACUCAUCUCCUCUCACUGAUCUCCCUGCUGGUGGUGGCGGAUAGAAGGCAGAGGUGUGGUCAACACCAAAUGAGAUUAUGUUCUGGGAAUUCAGAGAUUGCAGUCUGAAGAAUUCAAGAUAAGGUAUGACCUCCAUAAAGAACCUUCAUAUCAUCUUGCCCUGCAUGAAAGGUAUUAGAAGCCUUUUGUCUGGUCUUUCAUGGUACUUUUAAAGGAUAUUAUCAUUUACAAAAUGGAAUACCAAUGACUUUUCACAAGUGGUCUAUCAACUAAGCAUGUACUUACGUAAAUAUUUUCAGAGGAUUUCAUUAACCUCUGAGUGAAUAGUUGAAAAAAAAGAAUGAAACAGAUAUAAGUCCAUGUUUUUAUUUGUAAAUAAAUGUAUUGCCAAAAAUUACAUACAAAUAACAAAUAAUGUCUCGAGUGACAUGCAAUAAUCAAAAUCCUCAAAAGAAUACUUUUGUUUAGUAGAGAUUUGAAUAAAUAAACUACAAUUUAAGG